GACGUAGGAGGCGAGCGUUAUCCGGAUUUACUGGGCGUAAAGGGCAGGUAGGCGGUUGUCAAAGUUGGGCGUGACAGCUCCCGGCUCAACUGGGGGGUAGGCGUUCAAAACUAGGCGACUAGAGGGCAGGAGAGGGAAGUGGAAUUCCCAGUGUAGCGGUGGAAUGCUCAGAUAUUGGGAAGAACACCAGUGGCGAAGGCGGCUUCCUGGUCUGCACCUGACGCUGAGAGGCGAAAGCUAGGGGAGCGAACGGG
rnacentral:rRNA from 1 species